rfam:Moellerella wisconsensis ATCC 35017 Sequence00002, whole genome shotgun sequence.
CGUUUAUCUCAGGGCGGGGUGUAAGUCCCCACCGGCGGUAACAUCAGUCAAUGAUCUUGCUAUCAUUUGAGCUGGUGAAGCCCGCGAGCGCUUUAUAGUGGUGUUUAGACAAUUCAUUAUAAAGGUCAGCAGAUCCAGUGAAAUCCUGGAGCCGACGGUUAUAGUCCGGAUGGGAGAGAAUAACA